GUCCCCGUAGCUCAGCGGAUUAGAGUGCUUCCCUCCGAAGGAAGAGGCCAGAGGUUCAAAUCCUCUCGGGGACGCCA
rnacentral:tRNA from 1 species